rnacentral:rRNA from 1 species
AGUUUGAUCCUGGCUCAGGAUGAACGCUGGCGGCGUGCUUAACACAUGCAAGUCAAACGAACCUUCGGGUUAGUGGCGGACGGGUGAGUAACGCGUGAGAAUCUGCCCUCAGGAGGGGGAUAACGGCUGGAAACGGCCGCUAAUACCCCAUAUGCCGAGAGGUGAAAUGAAUUUCGCCUGAGGAUGAGCUCGCGUCUGAUUAGCUAGUUGGUGUGGUAAAGGCUCACCAAGGCAUCGAUCAGUAGCUGGUCUGAGAGGAUGAUCAGCCACACUGGGACUGAGACACGGCCCAGACUCCUACGGGAGGCAGCAGUGGGGAAUUUUCCGCAAUGGGCGCAAGCCUGACGGAGCAACGCCGCGUGAGGGAUGAAGGCCUCUGGGCUGUAAACCUCUUUUAUCAAGGAAGAAGAUCUGACGGUACUUGAUGAAUAAGCCACGGCUAAUUCCGUGCCAGCAGCCGCGGUAAUACGGGAGUGGCAAGCGUUAUCCGGAAUUAUUGGGCGUAAAGCGUCCGCAGGCGGUCUUGAAAGUCUGUUGUUAAAGCGUGGAGCUCAACUCCAUUUCAGCAAUGGAAACUAGAAGACUAGAGUGUGGUAGGGGCAGAGGGAAUUCCCGGUGUAGCGGUGAAAUGCGUAGAUAUCGGGAAGAACACCAGUGGCGAAGGCGCUCUGCUGGGCCAUAACUGACGCUCAUGGACGAAAGCCAGGGGAGCGAAAGGGAUUAGAUACCCCUGUAGUCCUGGCCGUAAACGAUGAACACUAGGUGUCGGGGGAAUCGACCCCCUCGGUGUCGUAGCCAACGCGUUAAGUGUUCCGCCUGGGGAGUACGCACGCAAGUGUGAAACUCAAAGGAAUUGACGGGGGCCCGCACAAGCGGUGGAGUAUGUGGUUUAAUUCGAUGCAACGCGAAGAACCUUACCAGGGUUUGACAUCCUGCGAAUCCCUUGGAAACUUGGGAGUGCCUUCGGGAGCGCAGUGACAGGUGGUGCAUGGCUGUCGUCAGCUCGUGUCGUGAGAUGUUGGGUUAAGUCCCGCAACGAGCGCAACCCACGUCUUUAGUCGCCAGCAUUAAGUUGGGCACUCUAGAGAGACUGCCGGUGAUAAACCGGAGGAAGGUGUGGAUGACGUCAAGUCAUCAUGCCCCUUACAUCCUGGGCUACACACGUACUACAAUGCUACGGACAAAGGGCAGCAAACUCGCGAGAGCUAGCAAAUCCCAUAAACCGUGGCUCAGUUCAGAUCGUAGGCUGCAACUCGCCUACGUGAAGGAGGAAUCGCUAGUAAUCGCAGGUCAGCAUACUGCGGUGAAUACGUUCCCGGGCCUUGUACACACCGCCCGUCACACUAUGGAAGUUGGCCACGCCCGAAGUCGUUACUCCAACCCGCAAGGGAGGAGGAUGCCGAAGGUGGGGCUGAUGACUGGGGUGAAGUCGUAUCAAGGUA